rnacentral:rRNA from 1 species
UCUGGUGGAAACAGCGGAGGGGCAACACCCGUUCCCAUCCCGAACACGGCCGUUAAGCCCUCCAGCGCCGAUGGUACUUGGGGCGAAAGCCCCCGGGAGAGUAGGUCUCUGCCAGAA